rnacentral:rRNA from 1 species
AUGCUCAACCACCGCGAGCCCGAACCAGCCGGCCACCAACCGCCACCAAACCUGCACCGCAGAGCACCGAAGGGAAUCUCCCGCCAGCGCCCGCGCCCGUCCCAGCUGAGGCCGUCCCGCGCGACCCCCCGGCCAGCAGCAGCCGUGCUGCCGGGUCCUGGGCGCACACCGCCGUCUCCAUCGACCAGCCGAUCCCGCCAGAGGAAGGAGGAUCCACGCCUGAAUCUCGCCGAGCCGCACCACCUCCCGCCGCAGCAGAGACGCCAAACCACAGCAGCUCCGCCGCCGCCCACGCAGUCGACGGGAGCCACCGCCCGCCCGCGGCCGCGCCGCCCAGAGAUCGAAGAGGUCCGGGGCCGCUGCCCCGGCGUCCGAGCACCCGUGCCGCUGACCCCCGCAGCAGAAACCGGGGAAGCCAGAUCUGGCCGCAACCGGCUCGAUCCAGCCGCCCCACGCAACGCCCUCCGCACCUGCAAGCCGAGCAUCACCCCCGCCGCCAGAGCAUCACCGGAGAUAGGCGAGGCAGCCGCGCAGUCCACCGCCAGGCACCACAGCGCCGAGCGCCACCCGCCGCCGCUCCCCCAGGACUGGACGCCGCGCGACGGGAGAAGGCCCCGCCGCCGCCACCCCCACACGGGCUUUGCCCGGCGGUGGCCACUGGCGGCGGCGAGGGAGGAGGAGCAGGUGGGGGGAGUGGGAGGCGGCGGGGAUCGGGUCGCCGCCCGAGUCGCCAAGCUAGGCGAUGCGAAGCCCAAGUUAUGUUAUGUACUAUUCAAUGUUGAAUUUGUCAUUUUUAUUUUUUGA